rnacentral:rRNA from 1 species
SCCCUAGUCCUACGGGAUGCAGCAGGCGCGAAACCUUUACAAUGCGSGAAAGCGUGAUAAGGGAACUCCGAGUGCCCGUYAAAUCGGGCUGUCCUUCAGUUUAAAAAACUGGYGAAGAAAGGGCCGGGCAAGACCGGUGCCAGCCGCCGCGGUAAUACCGGCGGCUCGAGUGGUGGCCACUAUUACUGGGCUUAAAGCGUUCGUAGCUGGUUUGUUAAGUCUCUGGGGAAAUCUUCCGGCUUAACCGGAAGGCGUCUCAKGGAUACUGGCAGACUAGGGACCGGAAGAGGUGAGGGGUACUCCAGGGGUAGGAGUGAAAUCCUGUAAUCCUUGGGGGACCACCUGUGGCGAAGGCGCCUCACCAGGACGGCUCCGACAGUGAGGGACGAAAGCUGGGGGAGCAAACCGGAUUAGAUACCCGGGUAGUCCCAGCCGUAAACGAUGUGCGUUAGGUGUAUCGGUGACCACGAGUCACCGAGGUGCCGAAGAGAAAUCGUGAAACUACCGCCUGGAAGUACGGUCGCAAGGCUGAAACUUAA